rnacentral:rRNA from 1 species
CUGGCGGCGUGCCUAAUACAUGCAAGUCGAACGCUUCUUUUUCCACCGGAGCUUGCUCCACCGGAAAAAGAGGAGUGGCGAACGGGUGAGUAACACGUGGGUAACCUGCCCAUCAGAAGGGGAUAACACUUGGAAACAGGUGCUAAUACCGUAUAACAAUCAAAACCGCAUGGUUUUGAUUUGAAAGGCGCUUUCGGGUGUCGCUGAUGGAUGGACCCGCGGUGCAUUAGCUAGUUGGUGAGGUAACGGCUCACCAAGGCCACGAUGCAUAGCCGACCUGAGAGGGUGAUCGGCCACAUUGGGACUGAGACACGGCCCAAACUCCUACGGGAGGCAGCAGUAGGGAAUCUUCGGCAAUGGACGAAAGUCUGACCGAGCAACGCCGCGUGAGUGAAGAAGGUUUUCGGAUCGUAAAACUCUGUUGUUAGAGAAGAACAAGGAUGAGAGUAACUGUUCAUCCCUUGACGGUAUCUAACCAGAAAGCCACGGCUAACUACGUGCCAGCAGCCGCGGUAAUACGUAGGUGGCAAGCGUUGUCCGGAUUUAUUGGGCGUAAAGCGAGCGCAGGCGGUUUCUUAAGUCUGAUGUGAAAGCCCCCGGCUCAACCGGGGAGGGUCAUUGGAAACUGGGAGACUUGAGUGCAGAAGAGGAGAGUGGAAUUCCAUGUGUAGCGGUGAAAUGCGUAGAUAUAUGGAGGAACACCAGUGGCGAAGGCGGCUCUCUGGUCUGUAACUGACGCUGAGGCUCGAAAGCGUGGGGAGCAAACAGGAUUAGAUACCCUGGUAGUCCACGCCGUAAACGAUGAGUGCUAAGUGUUGGAGGGUUUCCGCCCUUCAGUGCUGCAGCUAACGCAUUAAGCACUCCGCCUGGGGAGUACGACCGCAAGGUUGAAACUCAAAGGAAUUGACG